AGGCAGGUGGAGAGGGGAUGGGGGAAGUCUCAGGUCCUCUUGCUCAUCCAUCAGCUGUGUAGUGUCUGAAGUGAUUAAGGAGCUUGGGGAGGCCUCCCAGGCUGGUCUGCUCCACUGGCCCUCAGAAAGACUUGCCUCCUCACCGAGCCUCAGUGUUCUCAUCUGAAGAAUAGAGCGGGCAAGGCCUUUCUCCUACACACUCAGAGCCCUGAAUGGGAAGAAAUGGGUUCCAUGUGCAGCAGGCCAGGAGAGAUUUAGGCAACAAGAACCUCCAGUUCUGUCUUAGGGUUCCCAGCUUUCUCCUUGUCCUGAGGGAGCCGCUGAGCCUGUGGGAGAUGAGGGGUGCCCAUUCCCUAGUGCUUCUCAGCCUCCCCCACCUGCCCUCCUGGGGUACCUUUGUCUGCCACUUGCAUCCUGUUGGAAGCUGUCCCCAUGUGGGUGUUAGGCAGGUGGCAGGUGCUGGAGCAGAGUGCACCACCCUCCGGUGAUCACUGUGAGUUGGGGUAAGAGUGGGGUGUUCCUGCCAGCUCCAGGAGAGGGGAAAGCAAGCCCCCGUCCACCCUUGUGGGUCUCUGCUCCUGGAAAAGGUGCUCUAGCAGGCUCAUCUGUGUGAGUCACUGUCUUUCAUGUGGGGGGCUGUGCUGAAGAAGCCUUGGUGAUAUAGGUGCAAAUGCCAAAAACAUGGAAUGCUGGAAGCCAAGCUUGCACAUUCUAGGCAGCCAUUUGGAAGAUUCUUCUCUGCGCAUGAACAGCUGAAAAGGAAAAACCCCGAAACAUUGGCACUGUGAUUUCUCCAUGUGAACAGUUUAGUUCGCCAAGGUGGACACGCCUCAUUCAUGCUUAUGGGGUGACCGACCUGCCUUUAGUGACACCCCCUGAAAUGUGAGUCAUCUAUGGGUUACUAGUCAUUGGAGAAGAGCCCCUCACACAAAAAUUGGAGCUCAGACCACAAACAACAACAACAACAACAACAACAAUCCAAAAAAUAAAAAAACGAAAAAUUAGGAGCAGAGACUAAAUGGAAAGAUGGAAAUAUUAAAAUAAAAAUAUUAUUUU
rnacentral:lncRNA from 1 species